GAGUUUGAUCGUGGCUCAGGACGAACGCUGGCGGCGUGCUUAACACAUGCAAGUCACGGGGGCCCGCAAGGGCAACCGGCGAACGGGUGCGUAACACGUGAGCAAGCUUCCGAUUUGUGGGGGAUAGCCGGCCUAACGGCCGGGUAAUACCGCAUACGUUCACUGGGCGGCAUCGUCUGGUGAGGAAACCUCCGGGGCAAAUCGAGGCGCUCGCGGCCUAUCAGCUAGUUGGCGGGGUAAUGGCCCACCAAGGCGACGACGGGUAGCUGGUCUGAGAGGAUGGCCAGCCACAUUGGGACUGCGACACGGCCCAGACUCCUACGGGAGGCAGCAGUGGGGAAUAUUGCGCAAUGGACGAAAGUCUGACGCAGCGACGCCGCGUGUGGGAUGAAGCUCUUCGGGGUGUAAACCACUGUUGCCCGGGACGAAAUGCCCUUUCGAGGGAAUUGACGGUACCGGGUGAGGAAGCACCGGCUAACUCUGUGCCAGCAGCCGCCGUAAC
rnacentral:rRNA from 1 species